AGUAAGGAAACUUGCCCAAGGUUUCGCUCUGCCUGGAAUUGAACCCAGGUUGAAAUCUGAUUUUCACUAGCUUUUCACACCCUUGCUAAAAUGUUUUUGAAAUGGAAGCAAUUUAAUUGGAUAUUAAGUGGCGAGCAAAUUUUUUGUGAAAAAAAAAUAAUUUUCAUCAAGCUAAGCUCAGUACUUUAAGGAUCUGUUUAAAAUGAUAGAGUUAAAGUUAUUAGUGAAGACAUCAAUCCUUUCGCUGAGCUGUUCAGUCUAUAAAAUGGUUUCCAAGUGUGUUGGUUAAAUUGUUGGCAAAUGAAUGCAGCACAUUUAUACUGGUAAUAUAACAGAGCUCAACACCAAUCCAGAUGCGCAAUUUAAUAUACCCAUAACAUGAAAAGCUUGAUUUCCCACUUGCUAGAACUUCCUUGCUCAUUUCUUAUCUGUGACUUUAAUUAUAAUGCUGUCUAUAGUGCCUGCUAUGCCCAAGCAAGGUUUUAUUAAUUCAAGAGCAUUAACAGAGAGCAAAUAUCACCUUCUGCGUUGCCUGCAGGAGAAUUACAGCUUUUAUAACAAUAAGCACAAAAAACUCCUCUUUUACACUUUUGUGUUCAAAGCAACUAAUUCAUACCUAAACCUCCAAAACAAAUAAGAUUCAUUAUUCUUCAAUAUAAUUGUUGUACAAUAUAUCACACUUAUAUUUUAAGUAUCUAUUUGCUUAAAAAACUCAGUAAAUUAUCUUCUCUCUUUACGCAAAGAGCAACCCAAAGGAGAAUCUUCCUUGUGACUGAAGCAGAAUAAUGGUCUUGUUCCAGCAAUCUGGCAUUUAAUCUAUCCAUUUCCCCCCAAUAAAGGGAUGAUGUACUAUAAAAAAGCUGUUCCAGAAAAACAAAUGAAUCAGGACCAACACAUUCUCAAUCUAUAUCAGAUCUAGCUAAGACUUGAUGAUUCAGAUCCAAAAUGACAAGUUGUCUGAUUUGUCAGCAGUUCAUCAGAAUAGAACUGCAAUCCUGAGAGGGAAGAUGCAAAAGAUCUACCAAACCCAAACCUCAAUCACAAGCACUGCUGUUUCCUAAACACUGAUAAAACUAGAGGGCAAAGAGAGGCCAGGAUAGCAAGAUACUGCAGCAUUACAGAGAGCUCAGGCGAAAUAGCAGGUGGAGUCGUGACAGAAUACUUAACUUGUAAGGCUCUCCCUCAGAUUGUUUACAUGAUUUUACUGCAAUGUUCAGACUUCCCCUGCUAACACAUCCCAGCACUACAUGUGCACAAUGCUCGCUCUGGAUUUUCAGCGACUACCUGAAACUGGAAGAUUGGUUUUACCUGACCAGCUGCACAACCCCCAAUACUGCACUGGGGUGGGGGGUCAGCCUAGAUUAUGAUCUUAAGUCUUGCAUAGGGCGUGAAUGCACAAUCAUCUGACCCAGAGAAAAAAGGCUCAUAAAUGUAUAUAUGGGAUCUAUUACACGGUGAUUUCUAAUGGGAUUCUUCAAUAAGAAAACAAGGGAGGACUUUUGUUGAUAACAGGAAAUACAUCACACCAACUUGCAAGAACUUUGCUCUGAAAGCAGCUUGUUUUGAUCCCCGACUGUUCAGCGCCUUGGGACGUCCUCCCGACGUGAAAGAGGACAACUCGGUCUAUAUUAAUCCCUGGUAACGAGGAUGAAGCUCUGGCUCACGGGUCCAAAAUUGCAUGAGGCACACUUGGGUGGAGUUUCAUUCCUUGUAAGAGUUCUUUCUACAGCUGGGCAAGAUUGCAAACAGACAUUCCGUGCAAUGCUCUCACACAGCAACUAUUCAAAAUGCACCCUUGCAUGUGCAAAACAUAUGAGCAAACGGGCAGACUCCAUCAGACUGUCUGCAAAGAGCAAAAUCUAAUUUUUUGUGGUGGGGCUUAAAAGUGUAUUUUUUAAAUGUUUUGACUGUCAGAGAGACUUGUCACUGAGCUGCCAUCACUGCCCAUUGAACACCAACUGAUAAAUAAUUAUUUUGUUUUAAAGGAAAGCUGUGUUAAUGUACAUUGGCACAAAACCUGCUGGCAAGGGUACAUUUCAUUAUGGUAUACAAAUCAAGCUCAAUAAAUAUUCCCCACCCUUGA